AACUGAAACAUCUAAGUACCCCGAGGAAAAGAAAUCAACCGAGAUUCCCCCAGUAGCGGCGAGCGAACGGGGAGCAGCCCAGAGCCUGAAUCAGUGUGUGUGUUAGUGGAAGCGUCUGGAAAGGCGUGCGAUACAGGGUGACAGCCCCGUACACAAAAAUGCACAUGCUGUGAGCUCGAUGAGUAGGGCGGGACACGUGGUAUCCUGUCUGCAUAUUGGGGGACUGUCCUCCAAGGCGAAACACCCGUGACUGA
rnacentral:rRNA from 1 species